rnacentral:rRNA from 1 species
UACGAGAGGGGGCAACGUUGUUCGGAAUUACUGGGCGUAAAGGGCUCGUAGGCGGCCAACUAAGUCAGACGUGAAAUCCCUCGGCUUAACCGGGGAACGGCCUCUGAUACUGGCUGGCUGGAGUUCGGGAGAGGGAUGCGGAAUUCCAGGUGUAGCGGUGAAAUGCGUAGAUAUCUGGAGGAACACCGGUGGCGAAGGCGGCAUCCUGGACCGACACUGACGCUGAGGAGCGAAAGCCAGGGGAGCAAACGGG